ensembl:lncRNA
GUGUGUGUGUUUUACCCCGUUGGUCUCCUCUUCCAGGCGUGGGGGGGUGUGUGUGUUUUACCCCGUUGGUCUCCUCUUCCAGGCGCGUGGGGGUGUGUGUGUUUUACCCCGUUGGUCUCCUCUUCCAGGCGUGGGGGGGUGUGUGUGUGUUUUACCCCGUUGGUCUCCUCUUCCAGGCGUGGGGGUGUGUGUGUGUGUUUUACCCCGUUGGUCUCCUCUUCCAGGCGUGGGGGUGUGUGUGUGUGUUUUACCCCGUUGGUCUCCUCUUCCAGGCGUGGGGGGGUGUGUGUGUGUGUUUUACCCCGUUGGUCUCCUCUUCCAGGCGUGGGGGUGUGUGUGUGUGUUUUACCCCGUUGGUCUCCUCUUCCAGGCGU